UCCGCAUCCCCUGCCCCGUCGCCGACUUCCGCCACCUCCUCCUCAGCCUCUCCUCCGCCGACGACCACCCCUCCUCCGACUUCUAGGCCGCCGCCGCUCGCCGGCUCUCCGGCCUCGCCGCCUCCGCCCUUCUUGGCCGGGCGCAUUUUACGCCUUUGCCACUGGAGGCCGUGGCCAUUUCACCAUUUUACCCCUGGGUAGAAUUAGAGUGUACAUAGAGGGACUGGACUGGGAGAGAUGCAGAGCUUUUGAUCUGAUCAUCUGAUGCAGAUUAUGGGUGGCAGGAUUGGGAUUUGGGGUAGCAUUUCACCUACAGAUUUGUGAAUUUCUCUUUUCUUUUUUACUACUAGUACUUAGUAUGAUAUCUUCUAGCUGCUGAUGGGUAGAACUAUGGGUGUUCAUUUUUUCUAAUCACUCCCUUUUAGUUCUAGGACUUGCAGUAGUUUGUGAGAGAGAGUGGGUGAGGAUUUUGUGGUGUUCAGCAUUAACCAUACAUGUAAUCCUUGACCUUGAGGCUAGUUUGAUGCCAUUUAUAUAUUAUUAUGGAGUUAGUGGUAGUAAUUUUUAGUAGAGUACAUUGCUGUUGCUGUGUUUCUUUUGUUCAUCUCCUCAGUUAUCUUUCUGUGUGACUCAUAUAUUGAUCUAAUUAAGAAAAAAAAACUACAACAAUCUUUCUC
rnacentral:lncRNA from 1 species